UCAGUACACAGGUCUCCCAGACAACUUUUCCUAGUGAGCAGAUACAUCCUGCAGGAACAUCUGUUUCAGGAUGGGUUAUGGCACCACAUCCAGGAAAACUGCUUUAGAGGUUUCCAGGUAUCCGUGAGGGACUUGAAAUCAUGGAGAUACUCAGUGGCCCAGGUGUCAUUUUCCAGCCAGCAGCCACAGGAGUGGGAUAAGGAUGGUGCAGCUCUAAGGAAAAUACACAUUUUGAAAGUUCCUGGGUAUUUGUUUAUUGUCUUCAACUUCUCUAGCUUUCAACAGCUCCUCAAGAAUGUAUUAUAAUCUGCUCAGUGAAGGUUUUCAAUUUAGCUGUAUCAGCACAAUGGAUUACUUCUCACAUCCUUCUUUCACAUAGAUUAACAAUCUGUCCUGUGUAAUAUACUUCCAUUUUUCAGCAGUACAAAUAUAGUGUUAAAAUAAUUGCCUAUAACAAAUAUUAUUUUCAAUAUCUUUAUUAAAGACACUCAAUCUAGCCAUUUCCCCUAACUUCUUUCAUAAGGUUGUAAAAUAAACCAUUAUAAAAUGUUCAAAAGAAACGCUUACCAUCUUAGUGGUAUUUAAAAUGUAUUUUUAUUCCUCAUUGUUUGCUAUAAAGUUAUAGGAAAUGAGAAAACAGUUCCUUCUAAUUUUUCACAAAAGGGACACUUUCUGACUAGUUCUAGGCUAUGUGCUGAAUGGUUACUUUGGUAUCAUAUAUGCGUACCAAACAGUCCAUUUUUUCAUUUAAGGAAUUAAAAUUUUGCUUUCUAGGAUUUUUGUAAGAUUUCUAUAUGCAUAUGAGGUGGAACACUCAUUGGGAGGAAGAAAUGUAACUAGAUUACCCUUAGAAAGAAGUCCUGUUCCAAAUAAUUCAGGUCAGUAAUGGAGGAAAAUGUGUAGAGGAGAAGGUCUAAUAAAUGAUGGGAAGCUUAUGAGGACACAAGUCUAGUGAAACUCCAUAAUGGUUGUGCAGCUGAACAUAUCUUGGAAGAAAUUUCAGGGUUAUCCAGACUUUUCAACUGGGAACAUGGCACAGGACAUGAAGUAGGAUCAAAAAACCUUCACCUGCGUUACCAGCAGAAACUAGAAGAGAAAGGAACAAUAGACCUGUUUGGUCUAUGGAACCAGGAAAUAAGUGGUAUUAAUAAUGUAAUCAACACAUUUUGAAAUUACAGAUCUGUCCAUGUCCAUUAUUAACAUGUCUAUGAAUUUAACCUAGAAAUUUACACAAAUUUGUUACUUUCUUCAACUGUGGUGCCGCUCUGUGUUGUGAGUACACUCCGGCAAGUCUCUGUCCCAGUUCUCCUGUUCAGCUGCCAGAUCAACUGCAGUGCCUCGCUUUGUCACUGGGGUGUUGUGCAUCACUAGCAUGUGGCCAUGCAUCUCACCACAGAGGUGGACAUCUUUCAUGCUGGGUGAAAUGACUUUAUGGAAAUAGCCAAUAUUUGAGGAAACACGCCUAAAAAUGCCAAGUCUCAAUUGAAGCUCAAAGCAAUGUUUGAAAAAAAACCCCUGAAUUAUUCCCACGAAGUCCAUCAGAGGAUUAAUUUCUUUUUAGGCAUCCCUGCCUGUGGAAAAUUGGAGCCAUGGUCCUCUAGUUCUCUGAAAAACCUUCUAGACUUACAAGGAACGUUAAGUCUUUAGGAAAGUCAGUGAAAAGGGCAAUGCCAUCUAACUCCCUGUUUGCACCAUAUUGUCUUUCAGACCAAUCAAUCUCUCAUCCUCAAGUACAGAUGUCCCUAAGCAGAAGGUAACACCUGAGUGAACAUAACACAAUCCCAGUUUUCAGUCUGAAUAAUUUACUGUUUCCAUAAGUGGUGAGAACACAACUUUUACAGUUUAUGAAUCAUUACACUUUGUUUUUCUGCCCGAUAUUAGGUAAAGCUGAGAAUGGGACUAUAUUUCAGCUUAAACAGAGGAAAGAAAUCACAUAUUUCUAAUGUGCCAAAAAAGGAUAGGCAAUUUGAUAUCUGCCAAUCCAAUUCUUUCUGAAUGUCAGUUUCCACUCUAAUUUUCUCUCAAUUCUAAAGGGUCACAGCUGCGAAUUUGCCUUCCCCAUGUUUUUCAAGAACAUGGAGAUAUCUCCAAGCAAGGGCAAGCACUAUAUGAAAUCAGAAUGACAGGAUGACACAUUUUAGGUCAUCUGCAGUGGUCAUCUGCUAAAGCACACUGGCUCUGUACUGUACCUGUAGUGGCCUGCAUCUCCGAAUGGGGAUGAAUUUUGCAAACAGGGAAGGAAGCAUCACUGGUUGGUUUUCUUCAGGGAGCAGCCUAGUGUGCUGCCCUACCUGGAAAGCUCCUCCACGGGUCUGAUCUCGUUCUGUUAUGCUGUUGCAGCUUGUGAUUCUUCAUUAAUAUUUCCUUUCUUUUUUGCCUGGAUGUAACUGAGAUGGGAGUUCUCACAAAAGCAACAUAGUAGCAAAAUUGCAAGUGUGAAAUAGUAGCACCAGGAUAAAAACUAGAAUGCAUUGCUGAGAAUGAGAUACAAGGUUUCAAAAAUAAAUUUGCACUACCCACUGCAAAGUGUCACAAUCACUACUCUGUGCUUUUCCUUAAUAA
rnacentral:lncRNA from 1 species